AAUAAACAUGCCUUCGCGGGCUCUUUGAGUGAUUCAUGAUAACUUCUCAGAUCGCAUGGCUUUACGCCGGCGACGGUUCAAAUUUCUGCCCUAUCAACUUUCGAUGGUAAGGUAGUGGCUUACCAUGGUUUCAACGGGUAACGGGGAAUUAGGGUUCGAUUCCGGAGAGGGAGCCUGAGAAACGGCUACCACAUCCAAGGAAGGCAGCAGGCGCGCAAAUUACCCAAUUCCGAUACGGAGAGGUAGUGACAAUAAAUACUGAUACAGGGGCUCUUUUGGGUCUUGUAAUUGGAAUGAGUACAAUUUAAACCUCUUAACGAGGAACAAUUGGAGGGCAAGUCUGGUGCCAGCAGCCGCGGUAAUUCCAGCUCCAAUAGCGUAUAUUAAAGUUGUUGCAGUUAAAAAGCUCGUAGUUGAACCUUUGGCCUGGCUGGCAGGUCCGCCUCACCGCGUGCACUUGUCCGGCCGGGCCUUUUCUUCUGGAGAACCGCAUGCCCUUCACUGGGUGUGUUGGGGAACCAGGAC
rnacentral:rRNA from 1 species